CAAACGUGUGAGCAGUAACACUGAAAUUUGUGCUGUCAAGAUAACCAUGGUGAUAAAGGAGGUUAUCGUUCUUGGACUGGUACUUGCCCUUGUUGCUUCUGAAUCGUACUUCCCGGAUUCGAUUUGCAGGACGCGUUGUGAUGUGGAUCUACGCAUUUUAAAUAGGUGUUUUCAGGAUAAAAAGGCAUGCAAGAAACUAAACCAGAGUGCGUUGAAGGAAGCCUGCUACAAGAAAUGCACGAACAGCUAUGACGUGUGCUCCCAGAAAACAUGCCAUGGAAAAAGCAACUGCUUUAGCAAUUGCCUCAACAAGCAACUCCAGUGUUUAAACGCCAAGAAGAAAACCCCUAACGACAUAAUAAUAAUAGAUUGAAGGAAACAAAAUGAAGAAUUCGACACUUAAGCCAUUUAAUUUGCAUGAUUGUAUAAUUUACAUAUAAAGCUACAAUUUUAAAUAAGUAAUAACUGCAUGCAUCGAAAUAACACCAGGGUAUGAUACCCAAGCCAAAUCCCAGUUUGGAAAUCGGUACAUUGAUUUGAUUUAAAAAUAAUUAGAUUAAGACUUUUAAACAAAGUAAUGAAAUUUUAUUUAGAGAAACCACCAGCUUUGUACUUUCAGACCGUAACACUUUUGUUUUUAAAGAUUAAUAUAUUGUCUAAAUUUCAGUGCU